GAACUCAAAGAAGAGUGACGAAAAUUAAGUUCUGGUCUAGGCUUUAAGGGACUAAGAGGUUAGUAGGGGAGUUAUCCAGGAAAAGAAGUAGUAACUGAGGUCUACGUAUGAACAACACAAGAUACCAACACUAAGUACCAAUGGCCUUCACAAAAAGACGCGAUCAGAACAAGAUUCUGGAUGAACAUAGCACCAUGACUCCCAGAAAGUUCUGAACAGGGUGGAAGGAUGAAGAGGAUUUUCCACAGCCCCCUGCUUGAGGCACAGGCAGGGGCUGUUCCAGAACAAAGAUGAAGACCGAGUCCUCUCAUUGGAAGAAGAUGUUCACCUCAGUGGCUUCUACAAGCAGAACAGGUCCCUUUCUCAAUGAGGAUGCUCUUGUAGGCAACACUUUAAAGUAGGACCCUUACUUCAACCCCAUUUGAUUCUCUUUCUGCAGCCUUUUCCCCUCUCUAAGUAGACUGAGUCGCCAUGGACCUCAUUUCUUUCUUCUCACAACAAGGAGGCCCUGCUUAGGAAAAUAUUGUGAUAAAUAGAUUCAUCCAACCAUUUAUUGGACAAAUAUUACUGAGCUCCAACAAGGUGCCAGGUUGAGAAAUAAGUGAUGGAUCAGGCAUUAUUCCUCCAAGGUCUAACUGGUUAAAGUGUGUGCCCCAUCACUAAUGGAUCAGGUGUCAAUAACCAGGCCUCCCAAGCAUGACUGAGGCCGUGCCACAAAUCACUGAAGCCUCACAAGACAAUUUCUAUUCCUGUCUUGGACCAGAUCAGCUGUGCCCAGGUCAUACUGAGAUUAUUUUUCUGGAAAAUAGUCAGCUCUUCUCCAUUUCAUUGUCACACAGGCAUGAACAAAGAUCCCGGCCCAGGCGUCGUGGUACAAUUGCAUUAAUAUUUGGGUUGGGGGUAAGUACAAAGGAGUGGAGAACCAUAGAAGGUGACAAGUGAGUGCAGAAACAACACAAUGAACAGCAGCAAGCCAGCCUGUGCAAAGCCAAUGGCAGGACACCCAUCAGCAAAUGUGGCCUCUGUGACCUUCCAAAGUAUGUUGUAAUUGGGUGGAUUUCUGGGUGAGUAUAUUGGAAAAACCAAACUGCUUUUCCUCUGAUGUUGUACCACAACCAUCAAUAAAGAAAACUUCUGUG
rnacentral:lncRNA from 1 species